rnacentral:rRNA from 1 species
UGGGGUGGGGUGACUGCGUACCUUUUGUAUAAUGGGUCAGCGACUUAUAUUCUGUAGCAAGGUUAACCGAAUAGGGGAGCCGGAGGGAAACCGAGUCUUAAUUGGGCGUUAAGUUGCAGGGUAUAGACCCGAAACCCGGUGAUCUAGCCAUGGGCAGGUUGAAGGUUGGGUAACACUAACUGGAGGACCGAACCGACUAAUGUUGAAAAAUUAGCGGAUGACCUGUGGCUGGGGGUGAAAGGCCAAUCAAACCGGGAGAUAGCUGGUUCUCCCCGAAAGCUAUUUAGGUAGCGCCUCGUGAAUUCAUCUCCGGGGGUAGAGCACUGUUUCGGCUAGGGGGCCAUCCCGGCUUACCAACCCGAUGCAAACUGCGAAUACCGGAGAAUGUUAUCACGGGAGACACACGGCGGGUGCUAACGUCCGUCGUGAAGAGGGAAACAACCCAGACCGCCAGCUAAGGUCCCAAAGUCAUGGUUAAGUGGGAAACGAUGUGGGAAGGCCCAGACAGCCAGGAUGUUGGCUUAGAAGCAGCCAUCAUUUAAAGAAAGCGUAAUAGCUCACUGGUCGAGUCGGCCUGCGCGGAAGAUGUAACGGGGCUAAACCAUGCACCGAAGCUGCGGCAGCGAACGUAUCACCCAAGACAACUUUACGGAGUUGACGAUUGACGGAGCGAAGCGACGUCAAAGCGUUCAUUAAAGUCGAGUUGGCUUAGGGAUACGUUCGUUGGGUAGGGGAGCGUUCUGUAAGCCUGUGAAGGUGUGUCGUGAGGCAUGCUGGAGGUAUCAGAAGUGCGAAUGCUGACAUAAGUAACGAUAAAGCGGGUGAAAAGCCCGCUCGCCGGAAGACCAAGGGUUCCUGUCCAACGUUAAUCGGGGCAGGGUGAGUCGACCCCUAAGGCGAGGCCGAAAGGCGUAGUCGAUGGGAAACGGGUUAAUAUUCCCGUACUUGGUGUUACUGCGAAGGGGGGACGGAGAAGGCUAUGUUGGCCGGGCGACGGUUGUCCCGGUUUAAGCGUGUAGGUGUGUGUUCCAGGUAAAUCCGGUU